rnacentral:lncRNA from 1 species
CUUGUGUACCUUAAUGUGAUUUCUCUGCCGGCUUCGCAAAGACACAAAUGGCUUUGCAAGCGACUGUAUUUGGUGUAAUUGAAAUGCAUGUACACUCAUACUUAACCAGAGUUUUCUUUUGAAAGUAUUCUCACAUAAAAAAAAAAUAAGUCAACAUAUGGUCAUAAAGUGAUCAAAUAUAGCUGUACUCUUAAAUACAUUUUCUAAAUCACCAUAUUCUGCUUUCAGGGAGAAAUAUGAGUGGGCAAGUGGCAUCAAAAUUGGGACCUACAAAGCAAGAUUGCUCCCAGGUGGAUGAACCUGUGGUUGACCAGCAGCCCAGUGUUAAGCAACCUCAACAAGAGAAACCGCCAGCUGAGAUUCAGGAUAUCACACCUAGAAAGGAGGAAGUACAUGGAGAGGAUCCAGUGAAUCGUGAUGAAGAAGAGGAGAAGGAUCCCUUUGAAGGUAAAAUUCUGGCCUGGAAGCUGAUCUCCAGCAAUUGGCUCUGGCAAAGACUGGGGGUGAAGGUGGAGAUGGUCCUGAUGUCAGGGAGGAGUUUGCAUCAAAUACAGAGCCUGUUGAAAUGCCAGAAGCAGGUAUGUCAUCCAUUCAGAAAGUAAUUUAUGUGGUUUCUGUUUUUCAGAAUAUUAUAUCUUUACUAAUAUAGAGGGAACAUUACUAUUAUUUUAAUAAUAGAGUUCACAUAUUCUUUGAAAGAUAGUUCAGACCCCAGAUACCUGAGUGCCUGACUUACAGACUUUCAAAUAAAGAAACAGACAGGAUCA